UACGUAGGGUGCGAGCGUUAAUCGGAAUUACUGGGCGUAAAGCGUGCGCAGGCGGUGAUGUAAGACAGAUGUGAAAUCCCCGGGCUCAACCUGGGAACUGCGUUUGUGACUGCAUCACUCGAGUACGGCAGAGGGAGGUGGAAUUCCGCGUGUAGCAGUGAAAUGCGUAGAGAUGUGGAGGAACACCGAUGGCGAAGGCAGCCCCCUGGGUCAACACUGACGCUCAUGCACGAAAGCGUGGGUAGCAAACAGGAUUAGAAACCCCUGUAGU
rnacentral:rRNA from 1 species